rnacentral:rRNA from 1 species
AGUGGUGAAAUGCGUAGAUAUCCGGAGGAACCCCCGAAGGCGAAGGCACUGUCCUGGUUCAUUGCUGACGCUCAGGGGCGAAAGCCAGGGGAGCGAACGGGAUUAGAUACCCCGGUAGUCCUGGCUGUAAACGAUGACCACUAGACGUUCGGGGUAUCGACCCCCUGAGUGUCGCAGCUAACGCGAGAAGUGGUCCGCCUGGGGAGUACGGUCGCAAGAUUAAAACUCAAGGAAUAGACGGGGACCCGCACAAGCAGCGGAGCGUGUGGUUUAAUUCGAUGCAACGCGAAGCACCUUACCAGGGUUUGACAUGGCAGUGACCCCCCGUGAGAGCGGGCUUCCUUCGGGACACUGUCACAGGUGCUGCAUGGCUGUCGUCAGCUCGUGCCGUGAGGUGUUGGGUUAAGUCCCGCAACGAGCGCAACCCUCAUCGGUAGUUGUCUUGUCUACCGAGACUGCCGCGAUCAACGUGGAGGAAGGUGGGGAUGACGUCAAGUCAGCACGGCCCUUACAUCCUGGGCGACACACACGCUACAAUGGCGAGGACAACGAGUUGCCAACCCGCGAGGGGGAGCUAAUCUACAAACCUCGUCCCAGUUCAGAUUGCAGGCUGCAACCCGCCUGCAUGAAGUCGGAGUUGCUAGUAACCGUGAGUCAGCACAUCACGGUGAAUCCGUUCCCGGGUCUUGUACACACCGCCCGU